rfam:Debaryomyces hansenii mitochondrion, complete genome.
GUUUAUGUAGCUUAAAGGCAAAGCAGUGUACUGUUAAUACAUCGAUUCUGGUUCGACUCCAGACUUAAACG